CAAGUCUCUGGAGUUUCACGAUUUGCCUCUUGAGGAAAAGAUGGAAUUUUUCAAUAAAGAACUCAUCACACCCGUUAGGGAGGUAGCAUUUGAAUACAACAAGAGAAUAAGAAAUGUGGCAAGGACUUUGCUGGAAGGAAUAUCAGAGUUUAGGAUUACAAGCCAAGGCCAUUAUAGAGUCCAAAGCUUUUGAUUCAGGGCAUCAGAAAUGUCAAGUGAACUUAUACCCUCCAUGUCCUCAACCAGACCUUACUGACAAUCGCUUACUAACUGUCUUCAUUGAAAAUGGAAUCAAAGGCCUUCAAGUGAAGCAGCAUCAUAAAUGGGUUAAUAUUGUGAGUAACAAGCUGUACAAGAGUGUGUGGCACAGAGUAGUGGUGAAUGAAAGAGACAAGAGGCUUAGUCUUGCACUGAAGAAUGAACCAGCACCUGAGAAAGAAAUAGGGCCUGCAACUGAGCUAUUAGAGAAGGAAAAGCCAUUGUUCAAGAGAAUCAAAUAUAAAGAUUACUUGCGAGUUCAACUGGAGGCUAGAUGUAUUGACAAGAGAGCUCCUGCGGCUGCUUCUCUUCCGAGUUGUUGUUCCCUCCAUCAAAAGCCUCUGAAUUUUCAUAGCAAUGCCCAUCACCAGAGAAAUCUUACCACUCUAUCACUUUCUACUACUCACAGCAAAAUCCCAAUAAGAGAUUUCUGCGCUCUGACUCUGAGAAAUCCCCGGAGUUUCGUCAAUUCCAAUUCAAAUCAGAGCCAGAGCCACUCUCUGUUUCUUCAUUUUCUUCUCUCUACUGAUUACAAAGACCCCAAUAAUCAACACCCAGAACGCAGAUACCAAAAGCUUCCACAAGAAGACGAGCAAAAGGGGUUCGGCAGCGCCGAGGAAAGGCGGGUACAUUUCACAAACAUGUGGUGGGCAGAUGUGAAAGCGGCGUUAGGGCAGAGAAUAAACUUGGAGGCCAUUUGUUCGACGUUUUUGUUUGUGAAAGACCCCAAAUUAGCACUGCCUCAUGUUUCUGUUCCGGACUUGAGGUACAUUGAUUGGGGUGAGCUGCGAAGAAGGGGUUUCAAAGGGGUCGUGUUUGAUAAGGAUAAUACCAUUACUGCUCCUUACUCUUUGACACUUUGGCCUCCCCUUGCUUCUUCGAUGGAACGUUGUAAAUCGGCGUUUGGUCCUGAUAUUGCUGUCUUCAGUAACUCUGCUGGACUUCAUGAGUAUGAUCAUGAUGGUUCCAAAGCUAAGGCGCUUGAGGAGGCAAUUGGGAUUAGAGUCAUAAGGCACAGGGUGAAGAAACCAGCUGGAUCAGCUGAUGAAAUUGAAAAGCAUUUUGGUUGUGAGCCCUCACAACUAAUCAUGGUGGGUGAUCGGCCCUUCACUGACAUUGUUUAUGGCAAUCGAAAUGGGUUUCUUACUAUUUUGACCGAACCUCUUAGUCUUGCCACGGAGCCAUUUGUUGUUCGACAGGUUUGCUUGUUAUGAUAUUUAGCUUUUCUUUGGAGCAUUACGAUUUUCCCUGUUUAUUAUUAUCUUUUAAAUUUUGUUUUGAAUAAGAAAAUUUUGUUAAUAAAAGGGAAAUGAGACAACUCUAUAUGGAGUGUUUUAUGGGAAUGAAGGAAACAGGGAAAAAACAGAGAGAAAACCAUUGAGAAAAAAAUUCUAUUCUGCCUCCUUCAAGAGACAGUUAAUGGAACUGAGUACUAAUAAUAUCAAAAGUAUAAACUACGAGUAGACUGGGAAGGAAACCUUGUUUCAAAUCGUAUGUGAAGUUUGAUAAUGGUUCUUAAUUAGCACGACCCAAGUUAUUGCUCUCUGUAAAUGAUGCAUAUCUACAAUUAUUUGCCAAAGGCAAACACAUUAAAGGAUAUUUAUGUAUGUCAAUGUGAACCAAGUGCAACAUGCUCGUUUGCCCCCUUUCCUUUGUUUCAGCUUCCUGAUGUUUAGAAAUUUUUUGUAUUUCAUUGUUGAAAUAUGCUGUUUCGUAUGUGGUAUCUUGUUCAAAUUUUCAGUAUGUCCCUUAUUUACAAGUUCAUCUUUGUCAUAGUUACCAAUGUUAGCGUUAGAUUUGCUUGCUUUCGUAGGAUAAUCACGCACAUGUUACCAUUUCAGUAUACAUGAACAGCGCGCGCGCGCAGUCAAAUACACAUAUACUAUCAAUUAGCUAUUUACAAGUGCACAUCCAUCUUUUGUCAUUUCAUGAUCAGUACUUCUUCACCUUUCCUCAAUCUUCAAUAACCGUUUGUUUGUACAAGUAUAGCUCUAUAGUUCUUCAGUUGCAUCUUUCCAUUUCAUUUAUCAAGUGUCUCCAUUUAAAUAAUUGAGACUACAUGCUGGAGAUAAUGGCCACACUUUGGCAUCAGCAGUGCAUUCACUUGCUUAUGGCUACAUUCUGCUGUUCCUGUGGUUGGUCUUGUCCUAUAAAGUUGAAGGUGAGGAAACUGGAAACUUCAUUUGUAAAUCAUUGGCGUGGAAGAGGUUUGGAGCCACCCUGUCACAAACUAUUGCCUGAC